rnacentral:lncRNA from 1 species
GUACUGUAUAACACUAUAACACCACAGGUACUGUAGUACUGUAUAACACUAUAACACCACAGGUACUGUAGUACUGAAUAACACUAUAACACCACAGGUACUGUAAUACUGUAUAACACUAUAACACCACAGGUACUGUAGUACUGUAUAACACUAUAACACCACAGGUACUGUAAUACUGUAUAACACUAUAACACCACAGGUAAUGUAAUACUGUAUAACACCACAGGUACUGUAAUACUGUAUAACACUGUAACACCACAGGUACUGUAAUACUGUAUAACACUAUAACACCACAGGUACUGUAAUAUUGUAUAACACCACAGGUACUGUAAUACUGUAUAACACUAUAACACCACAGGUACUGUAGUACUGUAUAACACCACAGGUACUGUAGUACUGUAUAACACCACAGGUACUGUAGUACUGUAUAACACUAUAACACCACAGGUACUGUAGUACUGUAUAACACUAUAACACCACAGGUACUGUAGUACUGUAUAACACCACAGGUACUGUAAUACUGAAUAACACUAUAACACCACAGGUACUGUAGUACUGUAUAACACCACAGGUACUGUAAUACUGUAUAACACUGUAACACCACAGGUACUGUAAUACUGAAUAACACUAACACCACAGGUACUGUAAUACUGAAUAACACUAUAACACCACAGGUACUGUAGUACUGUAUAACACUAUAACACCACAGGUACUGUAGUACUGUAUAACACUAUAACACCACAGGUACUGUAGUACUGUAUAACACCACAGGUACUGUAAUACUGUAUAACACUAUAACACCACAGGUACUGUAGUAUCAAAUCAAAUUUAUUUUUAUAUAGCCCUUCGUACAUCAGCUGAUAUCUCAAAGUGCUGUACAGAAACCCAGCCUAAAACCCCAAACAGCAAGCAAUGCAUGUGAAAGAAGCACGGUGGCUAGGAAAAACUCCCUAGGAAAAACUCCCUAGAAAGGCCAAAAACCUAGGAAGAAACCUAGAGAGGAACCAGGCUAUGAGGGGUGGCCAGUCCUCUUCUGGCUGUGCAGGGUGGAUAUUAUAACAGCACAUGGUCAAAAUGUUAAAAUGUUAAAAUGUUCAUAAAUGACCAGCAUGGUCAAAUAAUAAUAAUCAUAGUAGUUGUCGAGGGUGCAACAAGCACGUCCGGUGAACAGGUCAGGGUUCCAUAGCCGCAGGCAGAACAGUUGAAACUGGAGCAGUAGCACGGCCAGGUGGACUGGGGACAGCAAGGAGUCAUCAUACCAGGUAGUCCUGAGGCAUGGUCCUAGGGCUCAGGUCCUACGAGAGAAAGACAGAAAGAGAGAAAGAGAGAAUUAGAGAGAGC